CACGGGGGGAGCAAGCGUUGUUCGGAAUCACUGGGGCGUAAAGGGCGUGUAGGCGGUCAGGUAAGUGGGAUGUGAAAUGCCCCGGCUCACCCGGGGACCGGCAUCCCAUACUGCUUGGCUUGAGUACGGGAGAGGAGUGUGGGAAUUCCUGGUGUAGCGGUGAAAUGCGUAGAUAUCAGGAGGAACACCGGUGGCGAAGGCGGCAUCCUGGACCGAGAUUGACGCGUGAGGCGCGGAAAGCCAGGGGAGCAAACGGG
rnacentral:rRNA from 1 species